rnacentral:tRNA from 1 species
GCCUGCGUGGCCUAAUGGAUAAGGCGUCUGACUUCUAAUCAGAAGAUUGCCGGUUUGACCGCGGACU